rnacentral:rRNA from 1 species
UACGUAGGGUGCGAGCGUUUGUCCGGAAUUAUUGGGGCGUAAAGAGCUUGUAGGCGGUUUGUCGCGUCUGCCCGUGAAAAUUCGAGGCUCAACCUCGAACUUGCGGUGGGUACGGGCAGACUAGAGUGCGGUAGGGGUGACUGGAAUUCCUGGUGUAGCGGUGGAAUGCGCAGAUAUCAGGAGGAACACCGAUGGCGAAGGCAGAUCUCUGGGCCAUUACUGACGCUGAGGAGCGAAAGCGUGGGGAGCGAACAGG